GACGUAGGGCGCGAGCGUUGUCCGGAUUUAUUGGGCGUAAAGAGCUCGUAGGCGGCUUGUCGCGUCGACCGUGAAAACUUGGGGCUCAACCCCAAGCCUGCGGUCGAUACGGGCAGGCUAGAGUUCGGUAGGGGAGACUGGAAUUCCUGGUGUAGCGGUGAAAUGCGCGGAUAUCAGGAGGAACACCGGUGGCGAAGGCGGGUCUCUGGGCCGAUACUGACGCUGAGGCGCGAAAGCGUGGGGAGCGAACAGG
rnacentral:rRNA from 1 species